CUAGAAACCCCACAGGAGGGAAGGAUGGGGAGCGGGGUCUGGCUGGCACUCUUCCUUCCUCUUCCCCCUCACCUGCUGCUUUGCCCUGAAGCAGCAGGUGCCCUGCCCCCUGUCCUGUCCUUUUUGGGGCGCUAGGUGUCAGGUCAGAUGUCAUACUCCAUAUGCUGUUGUAAAGCAGCCAUCAAUGCCAUCAGUGAGUGGAACUUCGUUCCGGCUUUCAUGGGGGUCUCUGCGUGACGAAUCUUCUGGAUGUGGGCUGCCUACUCUCUGACGCCCUCAUAGGACCUUCCUUUUGAUCCUGUUCCUCAGGAUACUCCACAAGUGGCCAACAUGGUACCAUCAAGACAUCUUGAGCCUGGCUCCCUGCCACGGCAUAUGUGGCUCACAGGAGGUCUUGUUACAUCAGAAUGAGGUAGUGUGGGUUGCUCGCUGCCACCCUCUCCCCUCACCUUAGUGUAGAGGGCCGCCCUGGCCCACCUCCUGCCUCCAGAGUUUCUCCAGGUGAGAAGUGGACCGUCACAGGCAUAUGCGAAGCCUUGCUGAAACCCCUCUGUGGCUUCCUACGGCCAGCGCCUGUGACUCUCAUCUUGAGGGUUUUCUCUGGUGUUGAUAGUGUGGCUGCAUGUGUUAGGGGAGUUGACACCCUGGAGCAGCCCUCAACCGAAGAUGGACAGGAGUUGGUGGGAGAGUUCACCGAGGCCCUGGCGCAUCGAUCCAUAGGGAACUACCGGUAUUCGAUGAUUGGAGACUGGACAGAGAUGGCAGCUUCGCACGGUUCAGC
rnacentral:lncRNA from 1 species